rnacentral:lncRNA from 1 species
CAAAUCUCAAGCUGUUUGGGGCCAACAUAGAACUUUGCUAAGACCCAGGCAUGCUUCUGAUCAACCCUGAGAAGCUGCUGUGUAUCGGAUAUGGCUUGAAAAUUAGGAACCUGCUGUCCUCCAGAGGUGCCUUCAGACUGCCCCACCUCACUAUCAAGGCUUUUUAAGAAUUUCAGUGAGCUCUGGGUAUUUCAGGGUAAGAUCAAGAUGUGGUAUCCCUUUUGGGCAGACUCUGGCUUUCUCCGCAUGUGUUCCCUGGCCCACAUUCGGACCCUUCUUAUCCCUGUCCACUUCCUUUCUGGGGAUCUAACCUUCUUCCCUCAUGGCUGAGGCAAUCUCAGGAGAAGUUAGGAAUGUACAUGUGGGAGAAUUUUCAUUCUCUUCUGUUUCCUUUUCCCAAAUCAGGAUUUCCACUUCUCAAACCUGCUGUGAUCUCACAGCUAGAGGAAGGAGAGGAUCUGGAAAGCCUGUCUCAGCUGGCCACUGGAACAGACUCCCAGGGCCUCUGGACUGGUAAGGGAGGCCCACUGCCCAACAACAUACGUGUGUGCCGCAUUUCCACAUUACAGCGAUGCGUGUUCCCAGAUGCCGAAUUCUGUCUCCAACCCCAUCAUUCUCAAACAAGACUAUGGAUUUCGUGAUUUGGGGGGUGGAAGUCCUUAACGUUUUUGAGCAUUGCCACUAAAAGUGGAGGAUAUAGCUUUAACAACCUUUUUACACAGGGGCAGAAAUACCUAAAGCUACAGGCUUUG